rnacentral:rRNA from 1 species
GACGAACGCUGGCGGCGUGCCUAAUACAUGCAAGUUGAGCGCUGAAGGUUGGUACUUGUACCAACUGGAUGAGCAGCGAACGGGUGAGUAACGCGUGGGGAAUCUGCCUUUGAGCGGGGGACAACAUUUGGAAACGAAUGCUAAUACCGCAUAAAAACUUUAAACACAAGUUUUAAGUUUGAAAGAUGCAAUUGCAUCACUCAAAGAUGAUCCCGCGUUGUAUUAGCUAGUUGGUGAGGUAAAGGCCCACCAAGGCGAUGAUACAUAGCCGACCUGAGAGGGUGAUCGGCCACAAUGGGACUGAGACACGGCCCAAACUCCUAAGGGAGGCAGCAGUAGGGAAUCUUCGGCAAUGGAGGAAAGUCUGACCGAGCAACGCCGCGUGAGGGAAGGAGGUUUUCGGAUCGUAAAACUCUGUUGGUAGAGAAGAACGUUGGUGAGAGUGGAAAGCUCAUGAAGAGACGGUAACUACCCAGAAAGGGACGGCUAACUACGUG